GUCUGCACGGGCUCUGCCUUGCGGGCUGGUCCGUAGCAGAGGAUGCUGCAGCAGGUCGGUGCUGGGCAAGAGAAUCGACGGCGACAGAGAGCGGCAUCAAAGAUUCAGCCGUGGCAUCCGCCCCAAUUAAAUUUCUAAGUUCCCCGAGGGAAGCACCGACAACUUUAUUUUGUCCAUCGGAAGGAGGAUUGCAAAGCCUGGGCACGGCCACGGCACCCAGCCGGCACGGUUUGGGGGAAAGGCUGAAGAUGAUCGGAAAAAUUCACAGCUGGAUCAUCAGAGACCGUGGACAAGCAUCCUCCAGCUCUAACGUGUUUAAAUCAUGGUUGUUUUGAGCGUUUCUGGGGAUCCAGCUACUCGGAUUACUGAGAACGAUGACUAGAUUCACAUCAGCCCAGGCAAGCAGACCUGACUUACCGCCGCGG